rnacentral:rRNA from 1 species
AGUGAACGCUGGCGGUAGGCCUAACACAUGCAAGUCGAACGGCAGCACAGUAAGAGCUUGCUCUUACGGGUGGCGAGUGGCGGACGGGUGAGGAAUACAUCGGAAUCUACUUUUUCGUGGGGGCUAACGUCGGGAAACUUACGCUAAUACCGCAUACGACCUACGGGUGAAAGCAGGGGAUCUUCGGACCUUGCGCGAUUGAAUGAGCCGCUGUCGGAUUAGCUAGUUGGCGGGGUAAAGGCCCACCAAGGCGACGAUCCGUAGCUGGUCUGAGAGGAUGAUCAGCCAGACUGGAACUGAGACACGGUCCAGACUCCUACGGGAGGCAGCAGUGGGGAAUAUUGGACAAUGGGCGCAAGCCUGAUCCAGCCAUACCGCGUGGGUGAAGAAGGCCUUCGGGUUGUAAAGCCCUUUUGUUGGGAAAGAAAAGCAGCAGGUUAAUACCCCGCUGUUCUGACGGUACCCAAAGAAUAAGCACCGGCUAACUUCGUG